rnacentral:rRNA from 1 species
UGCUUAACACAUGCAAGUCGAGCGGAAAGGCCCUUUCGGGGGUACUCGAGCGGCGAACGGGUGAGUAACACGUGAGUAAUCUGCCCUGCGCUCUGGGAUAGCCACCGGAAACGGUGAUUAAUACCGGAUAGGACCACUUCACGCAUGUGAUGGUGGUGGAAAGUUUUUUCGGCGCAGGAUGUGCUCGCGGCCUAUCAGCUUGUUGGUGAGGUAACGGCUCACCAAGGCUUUGACGGGUAACCGGCCUGAGAGGGUGACCGGUCACACUGGGACUGAGACACGGCCCAGACUCCUACGGGAGGCAGCAGUGGGGAAUAUUGGACAAUGGGCGGAAGCCUGAUCCAGCAACGCCGCGUGAGGGAUGACGGCCUUCGGGUUGUAAACCUCUUUCAGUACCGACGAAGCGAAAGUGACGGUAGGUACAGAAGAAGGACCGGCCAACUACGUGCCAGCAGCCGCGGGUAAUACGUAGGGUCCGAGCGUUGUCCGGAAUUAUUGGGCGUAAAGGGCUCGUANGCGGUUUGUCGCGUCGGGAGUGAAAACACCGGGCUUAACUCGGUGCUUGCUUUCGAUACGGGCAGACUA